rnacentral:lncRNA from 10 species
AGAGAAACAGCUUAGGGAGAAAGAGGCAGAGGACAAAGGAACUCGCCAGUUGCUUCUGCAAAAAACGAAAAAACAGAAAAAAAUCUAAAUGAGUUCUCCUGCAGUUGACAGGCUUUGAUGUGUGGACCAUCAGCAGGAUUGCAAAGUGUUAACAGAUGGAGAGGAAGGACAGGAGUGGACAGAGCUUCCCUCCCAGAUGGAGUGAUUGAUUGAUAUUUACCACACGGAGUGAUAGAGCAGUAGAUCACCAUGGGAUGACAGCCUAGAGCUUUAGCAGCAGGUCGACUUUGGUACUUGAAUAGAACUAAAAGGAAGAGGAAGGGCAAAUUUGUUGGCUGCUUGAGCUGGGAUAUUCAUCUUUCUCCUGAUCUUGGACAUCAGAACUCCUGAUUCUCAAGCCUUUGGGUUUGGACUGGAGGCACCAGCUUUCCUGGGCCUCCAGCUUGCAGAUGGCAUAUCAUGGAACUUCUCAGCCUCCAAAUUCAUAACUCUAAUACACCAGUACAAUGGAAAGAUUCCUAAAUUCAAAAGCCAGAAGGCUGGGUUCCUGUUCCCACCCUGCCUUUUACCUUCUGUGUGUUCCUGAUGAAGACACUUCAUGCUCCACUAUUUACUUACCUCUGAAACGAAGGGCUGACCCAGAUCAGUUGUUCUCUGACCUGCUUGGAGGGACUCAGAGGCUG